rnacentral:sRNA from 1 species
ACUGCUGCGGGGGCCGCGGGGGGCGCAGCUGGGGCGCGGCUCGGAGGGGAGGCUAGGGGGCCGUGCCAGGCCCGAAGCCGAGGCGGGGCCGGGAUGCGGCGCUGAGGCCCAGCAUGGCCGGCCCGGGCCCCACCUUCCCGCUGCACCGGCUCGUCUGGGCGAACCGGCAUCGCGAACUGGAGGCCGCACUGCACAGCCACCAGCACGACAUUGAACAGGAGGACCCCCGCGGGCGGACCCCACUGGAGCUGGCCGUGUCUCUGGGAAACCUGGAGUCUGUGAGAGUGCUCCUUCGACACAAUGCCAACGUGGGCAAAGAGAACCUCCAGGGCUGGGCAGUCCUGCAGGAGGCAGUCAGCACUGGAGACCCCGAGAUGGUGCAGCUGGUGCUCCAGUAUCGGGACUACCAGAGGGCCACGCAGAGGCUGGCGGGCAUUCCGGAACUGCUCAACAAACUUCGCCAGGUACAGCAGGGCACAGUUAUGGAGGUGGGGUACCAUGGCAGGGCACCACCCUGGUUACUGUGCCAGGCCUGGCCUUGGAAAGGCACCCAGUUUG